UACGGAGGGUGCGAGCGUUGUCCGGAAUCACUGGGCGUAAAGGGCGCGUAGGUGGCCCGUCAAGCGCGCGGUGAAAGCCCGGGGCUCAACCCCGGGUCGGCCGUGCGGACUGGCGGGCUCGAGCACUGUAGGGGCGGGUGGAAUUCCGGGUGUAGCGGUGAAAUGCGCAGAUAUCAGGAGGAACACCGGUGGCGAAGGCGGCUUGCUGGGCCUUACCUGACGCUGAGGAGCGAAAGCGUGGGGAGCGAACAGG
rnacentral:rRNA from 1 species